rnacentral:lncRNA from 1 species
UUUCUUGUCAGAGCCAAAUCCAUCUUCUUCUUCUUUGCUUUAUCUUCUUCAUCUGUAGAAGAACAUCCAUGGUGUUUAGAUAUAGAUGAGGGUUUCUACUUCUCAACAUCCCCCCUCAAGUUGGAGGGGAACGAGGUUACCCCUAACUUGCUUAGAACAUCUCUAUGAGAAAUCCCAGAAAUGGGCUUUGUGAAGAUAUCUGCAAGUUGACCCUUGGAGGGAACAAAUGAAAGUGUUAUUAAGCCCGAAAGGAACUGCUGUCGCACAAAGUGGUAGUCAAUUUCCACGUGUUUUGUGCGUUCGUGAAAAACUGGAUUAACUGGCAAUGUGGAUUGCUUCUCUACAGUCAUAAUGGAGAAGUAUUGGUAGAAAUACUGGUGCAGAGAGGUCAUCAAGAAGACGAACCAACCAGGUAAGCUCAGCAGUAACCCUUCUCAUAGAUUUGUAUUCUACUUCGGCAGAAGAUAAGGAAAUGGAAACUUGCUUCUUUAAUUUCCAUGAUAUAGGAGCACCUCCUAAGGUAAUAUAGAAACCACUAAUUGAUCUUCACGAAUCCUUGCAGGAGGCCCAGUCAGCAUCACAAAAAAGCAAGUAAAGAGAAAGAUGGCUCAGAAGAGAGUAAAAUGCCUUGUCCAGGAUCAGACUGAGAUACUUCAGAACUCGUAGAGCAGCAGAGUAGUGAGAAACACAUGGUUUCUGCAUAUACUGACUAAGGGUAAGAACAACAAAACAAAUAUCUCGUCGUGUAUUUGUCAAAUAGUUAAGAUUUCAAUCAAAUGACAAUAGACAAUUGGAUUCUGUAGGUAUUGAUCGUCAUCAUCUUGAAGCCUGAAGGAGGGAUCCAAAGGAGAACUCACCUGAUGCAAAUGUGAAACAUCAUAUUCCUGCAGCAUAUCCAAGGUGAAUUUUCUCUGACUCACUAUGUAACUUGCCUUUUCCUUUAAAAUUUCCAUACCCAAGAAAUAGUGAAUCUUUCCCAAAUUUUUGACCCUAAAUUCAGUGUUUAGGAGAGAUUUGAUCCCUUCGAUCUCAUCCAAAUAUUACCUGUAAUUAGUAUGUCAUAUACAUACACUACUAGAAUAGAAAUUAGGUUUCAUGUACUCUUAAAGAAUAAAGAAUAGUCAUUCAUUAAAGAAGAAUAUCCCUUAAAACUUAAAGUACCAGCCAGUCUAGCAUACCAUUGCCUAGAUGCUUGCUUUAGGCUAUAUAGUGGUUUCUUCAAAAGGCAUGUAUGUUUGGGACUAUGGGGAUCCAAACCUCCUGGGAAUUUCAUGUAGAUCUUCUUGUAGGUCUCCAUGAAAGAAUGCAAUGUUCACAUCCAGUUGAGAGACAGUCCAAUCUUUCUUGGUUGCAACAGUGAGAAGAAACCUUAUGGUUGUCAUCUUAACCACUGGUGAGAAAGUUUCACCAUAAUCUAUGCUUUCUCUCUAAACAUCCCCCCUCACCACCAAUCUUGCCUUUAAUAUUUCAACUUUCCCAUCUUACAAAUGUUUCACCUUGUAUACCUAUUUACAAGGUAAAACCCUCUUCCCUUUAGGUAACUCAACCACAUCCCAAGUGUGAUUAUCUUCUAAAGCUUUGAUCUCUGCAUUCAUAGCUUCUAUCCCUCCUGGAUGUUGGCAUGCUUGGGUAAAGGUGCAAGGUUUUGUUAGGGUAGAAAUGAAUUGUAGGACAUGUUGUUAUUAGGUGAUAGGGAUGAAAAAUUACAUUCUCUUGGAUGACAGGGGUGAGUGAAACAGGCUGUAGCUACAUCUGUGAACAUGAUGCUGCUACAGACAAAAUACUUUAAGUAAAGUGGCUGGGUAGUAACCCUUCCUGAUCUCCUCAAAGGAAUAGGAUCUUGAGGCAUAGAUAUCGGCAUGCUAGUGUGAAGACUCUAGUUCAGUGGGAACUUGAGGUGAGCUAGGUGAGAGUGAGGAAUGAGUAGGUGAAAAAGAGAAAGGGGUUGAUGGUAAAGGUGAGAAUCAGCUGCUAGUUCAUGUUCUGAGCAUUCCGAGUGUGCUUGGUCUGGUGAGGGGGUAGAAAAGGUAGGUUAUGUGCUAAAAGUGGAAUUUGGAAUAACAGAUUGGUGUGCUAGGUUAAUUUCUGUGAAAGGAAAAUGAGAUUCAUGGAAUCUUACAUCUCUUGACACAAAAACCUUUUUUGUUGACAAGUCCAGUAGCUUAUAUCCCUAUUGUCGGAGAGGGUAACCAAGUAAAGCACAAGUUGUUGCCCUUUCAUCAAACUUUCCUCUCCCUUGAGCCAGUUUAAAAGCAUAACAUAAACAACCAAAGUUUCUGAAAUAGUCAUACUUGUGUUGAAAUAGGACUUCAUAUGGUAUUUUUCCUUGAAGACCUCUAGAAGGUAACCUAUUCAGAAUAUGUAUAGCUGUCAAAAUGGACUCCCCCCAAUAGCACAUAGGCAAUAUGGAUUGAAAAAUUAGACCUCUAGCAAUUUCUAAUAGGUGUCUAUGUUUCCUUUUCAUAAUUCCAUUUAGUUGAGGUGUUGCUACACAAGAUAACUGAUGUAGAAUUCCUUCUGAAGCCAAAAAGGCUGCUUCCUGUUUACCUUUCCCCAACUCCAAUGCAUUGUCAGACCUUAUCAUCCUUAUCUUCACAUUGAACUGCCUUUCAACCAUAGAUAGGAAAGACUUGAGCAUAAGGAAUGCAUUGCUCUUGAAUGAUAGCAAAAAUGUCCAAGUUCCUCUAGUAUAAUCAUCCACUAUAGUAAGGAAAUAUCUAAAACCAUUAUAUGUAUUUGACUUGUAAAGUCCCUUAUAUCUAUAUGUAUGAGAUAAAAAAUGUGAUUAGAUUUAAUAGAACUAACAUGGAAAGAGUUCCUUGUCUGCCUUUCCUUAGGACAAACAUCACGGAUAAAAUUAGAUCAGAGUCACAAUGAAGGAAUUCUAAAAGUUUCAUUGCUGAAAAUGGAAGAUGUCCCAACCUUACAUACCAAAGCUUAACAUCAGAAACAACAUUAACAAGUAUAGGAUUAGAAAAGGCCUCAGACUCUAAAUGGAAUUUCUUCCUUUUUGAAUUGAAAAUACAUCACUACUGAACAACCCCUUAGACUUAAGACUACUAGGAUAAAAAAUGUAAAGUCCCUCUCUAAUUUCACCAAAAGCUUGUGGACUCUUCAUUGAAAGGCCCUGCAACACACACCCAACAGAUGUGAGUAAGACAUCAUAUUUGAAAUGUAUGCAAAACCUAUGAACUGACAGCAGAUUGUACUUGAAAUCUAGAACAUGUAGAACAUUAUUCAGAACAUGACCUGGGAGAAUGGACACACUUCCUAUAUGAGUAAUAAUUACCUUGAAAGAGUUAGGUAAAUUGAUAUUUAAAUGUACAUGAAGUUGAGUAAGAAACAAGAAAGAAUUAGGAUCAAAGCACAUAUGUUCUGAGGCACCUGAAUCAAUAAUCCAAGUGUCUGAAUUUAAAGUUGUAAACACUGAACCUGAGUAUUUUAGAAUAGUACCAGCUACUGCAUUAACAUUAAUUCUUGAGUUUCCUGCUUGUGUGAGUUUUUCCCGCUUGUACAUGUUCACCAUUUCUGCUACUUGCUCCUUGGUGUGUUGGUUUCCAAAGUUGAUAUUCUCAGCAUUUUGUCCCCCUUGAGUCUCACAGUCCUCCUGUGUCAAAACUGCAUUUCCGUUGAUCUGAUUCUAAUGUUUCUUCUGAUUAGUGAAUUCAAAAUCAUGUGGAAAUCCAACAAUUCUAUAACCGUCUUCUUGUGUGUGCCCUCUUUUUCCACAAUAGGUACAUGAUAUAUUUGGAUUGUACCUCUUCCUUCCUUUGAACUUCUGCUGUGGUUUAUUGAAUUUAUGUCCUUGAUUAUUGUGCUUCUAUCCCAGUAUUGUUCCCUUCUGUGUUUGAUUUCUAUUUUUCUAAAAGUUUCUACCCUGUCCUGCCACCAUAAAAGCUGCAAAGUAUGCUAACAAUUGGGCAUUAGGUUGCUUGGCAUCCCUAGCUUCCAUGAAUGAAAGUGAUUCUGAUUUGAAACUUGUAUUAGCAUACAUUUCUCUUUGAUUCUCAUCCUCUAAGAGAAGUGAAUAGGCAACAUCUAUGGCAGGCAGAGGAUUCAUCAUGAGAAUGUUUCCUCUUGCAUGUGCAUAGAUGUCAUUUGACCCCAUGAGAAAUUGGAUGAACCUGUGAUCCUCCAGUGACUUAGCUAGCUUUGCUUUUCCUUCACAAACACACACACACAUGAGCAGCAUAUGAUAACAUUCAAAGCAUCCAACUCAUCCCAUAAACGUUUGAGUUUAGUGAAAUAUCCUGCAAUAUCACCGUUCGCUUGUACUAAUCCGGUUAGUUCCUUCUGCAGAUGGUAGAGUUUAGCUCCAUUUGACUUGCCAAACCUCUGCUCUAAGCUGUCCCAAAGCUCCUUUGCAGCAUUGGAGUAAAUUACACUGUCAGCAUUGUCCUUUGAAAGAGCAUUGAGGAUCCAGGAGAUGACCAUGUCAUUGACACAUUUCCAUUGCUCAAGAUCUGGAGAUUUGCAGACUCCAUUGAUGAAACCAAGAUUUUUCUUGGCUAAGAGUGACAGGAGAAUAGAUUUUCUCCUGGUGAAUCUGAAUUAUUGACAUGGUAAGGGUGAUUAGGAUCAUAGGUCACACAUUUUGCAACAUUACAUGUUUCUGCAAUAGUGGUGGUGUCACCCAUCUUGAUUUAGCGAAGAACUAUUGUAAAUGAUGUAAUUGAAUGAUUCUAUUACUGGAUCGAGCUACU